ACCUACCGAAAGAGGACACAGUCAAAGGAUGAACCAUAUUACACCCACAGGCCCUGAGUCAGAAAGGGAGGCCACUGGUUCCAGGCAAGUCUGAAGAUUCCAUCCAUGAGAACAUGUCUUUCAAGAGCUGCAGACAAGGGAUGUGCUGCUGCUUCCUGUGCUGGGAUUAAAGGUGUGCACUGUGCCAAGCCAACUGAAUUUUCUAGCCUAGCUGAAAAAUUAUGAGGUGUGUAUGCUGGCUCCAAGAUUUGUUUGCAUCUUGCAUGCAGCAUUAGAAUGAAACGGGAGAUACUAUACAGGAGAAUACGUUACUGGGCUGGAGUAUAGCUAGAAGCAC